CUUGCUGUAUGUGGUCCCGUCAUCACCAAAGGCACCACAAGCCUCAUCAUUCCCACCAUUUCCACGAUCACCAUCACCUCCAGCCCCUCCAUCAUCAUCAUUCCUACCAUCUCGAUCGUUUCUACCAUCCCACCGCUACUUUCAUCACAUCUACCACCUCCACUGCUGUCAUGAUGACCACCAGCUCCACCAGCUCCCCACCUCCAUCAUGACAAGCACUGCCCCGCUACCGCAGCGUUGUUACUGCCUCUGGCUCCAUGCAUUUCAACUCAGAAAUCUCAGCAGCCUAUAAGGUGGGUACUCUUAUUAUCACCAUGAUGAAUGAAGCUUGAAGAACAUUCAAAACCAGGUCUAAGUGAUUCUUCUUGACACUCUUAACAAGGGGUUGUUGGGACCACUUAUUGACACGGAAUUUGACCUGGUAUGGAGAUGCCACCUGUUUCUCCCAGUGGUCAGUUCUGGAGACACAGAGAGGACCAAAUAUUUCUCUACAAGAGGAUUAAUGCUUACAAAAGGAGUUUGGGAAUCAUAGGAACCUGAGGCUCAGAGACAUCAAGUGUCCUGCUUAAGGUCACACAGCCACUAUCGGCUAGGAUUUAAGCAGAGAGUGUCUGCUGUCAAAACCUACAGGAUCCCAAACUUAACCUCUGCC
rnacentral:lncRNA from 1 species